AUUUUGCUUUCCUGCUUCUUUUCAUGUUUCAUUAUUAUUUUGCUGGAAUACUUUAGAUAGUAUAUUGGAGCAAUUCUGGGUACUAGUCCCAACUCCCACAAAGGGCUUGUUAUUUUCUUGUUUAUUUGUAUAGUGAAUGGCUGGAUUGUUUUAGUGAAAUCUGUUCAUUCCUCCCCACCCCAACAUUUGCUGUUGCUCCUUAAGGCAGGAAUGGCCUGAGGUUUACACACAGUCACUGUGAGGACAGUGCUUUGGGCAGUCCCUUCUUCUCUCCAUGAGCUCACCUGGCUAUUAAGCUUCAUUAAUUGCUGGCCGGUUGCUGUGAUGCUCUUAACAAUGUCUUUGGGCUAAUUGCUCUACAGGUUAAUUCAAUCCAAUUUGAGCUCCUCAUGAAUGACUCUGGGGAUCAGUUUUGAUAUUUGCUCUGACCCCGGUAUCUCUUUAUCAGGUUCCCUGCUUUUCCUUCCCAAAUAAUCUCUGAGCCAUAACUGUUCAGUUGGAAGUAGGGCUGUUGGGUAACACCAGGUGACACCCCACUUUAGGAGCUGGGAACUUGGUGGGUAGGGGUGGGAAGUAGCUUCAGGUUUUCUCAUCCUGCCUCUGUUGAUUCUCACCAAUGACAUUCUGCCCAAGAUACAGCCUUCAUCCCAUGAAUGGUGGCAAGGGAGCCCCGCCUCCUAGUUACACUCACCUUGAGCCUCAGGCAGCUGGAGGCAGGAUAAGAGAUGCUAGGAACUUGCUGUAGCUCUCCAACUGGGAGCCCAGGAGCAAGGGAAUCUUGUGUUCUUGGUUGUUUUAAUCUGAAAUGGAGUUUCAAUCUGGUAAAGUUGGGAUCAAGGAGAGAGGUAGCAGAUCUUAGUUCAAGUACCAGACUCUUGCUUUUGCACUGAG
rnacentral:lncRNA from 1 species